CGGCGACGGGUGAGUAACACGUGGAUAACCUACCUAUAAGACUGGGAUAACUUCGGGAAACCGGAGCUAAUACCGGAUAAUAUAUUGAAACCGCAAUGGUUCAAUAGUGAAANACGGUUUUGCUGUCACUUAUAGAUGGAUCCGCGCCGCAUUAGCUAGUUGGUAAGGUAACGGCUUACCAAGGCAACGAUGCGUAGCCGACCUGAGAGGGUGAUCGGCCACACUGGAACUGAGACACGGUCCAGACUCCUACGGGAGGCAGCAGAC
rnacentral:rRNA from 1 species